rnacentral:piRNA from 1 species
UGGAACAGUUGUGCCCACUACCAAAGUC